GGUUCUUUUAAAUGUAUCAAGCAAAGCGUAUCAAGGAUGUAUCAAAUCUUUCUUCCUUACUCACAUAUGUACUAGAUUAAUUGAGUUAAUAGCAUUAGCACUUCCAUAUGGCCUCAAUGGCUUUGUAAGCAUCAAAAUAACACUAGGAUCCUCAAUCUCCCCCUUUUUGAUGAUUACAAAACAUUGAGUAUAAGCAAAUUGAUAUUCAUGUGAGAAGUAAGGUUUAAUGUAUAGGAAAUGCUUUUGGUGUAAAAGUUUCAAAUAGUCCAAUUUAGAGAAUGUAUCAAUGAACCAAAAGCUCCCCCUAUCUUAUCCAAGUAGAAUGCCUAAUGAAUUUUAGCUUUGCUCCCC
rnacentral:lncRNA from 1 species